rnacentral:lncRNA from 1 species
CUGAAUGGUAAGAUUGGUUCCAGCAGAAUCGCAUCCCAAAUCACUCGGGGUCGGGCGAGGCGGAGUUCCACCCUCAAGGGCUCGGGCGCAUCCGACCCCGGGACCAAGGGGUCGGGCGCAUCCGACCUCGGGACCAAGGGUCGGGCGUAUACUCAGAAUUGGACUGCGGGUUGAUAUCAUGAAAUGUCAGGGGUUUUUUGAAAAAUAGCCUCGGACUACUCCAACGUUCCGCUCAGGGGUCGGACACUCCCGACCCCAGGACUCAGGGUCGGGCGAGGCGGAGCUUCACUCGGGGUCAGACGAGGCGGAGUUCCACCCUCAAGGGGUCGGGCGCAUCGGCGAGGCGGAGUUCCACCCUCAAGGGGUCGGGCGCAUCCGACCCCGGGACCAAGGGUCGGGCGAGGCGGAGUUCCACCCUCAAGGGGUCGGGCGCAUCCGUCAAGAGAGAAGAUUUUGUGGGCAUGUUAAAAGAAAGAAAAGAUUAAAAAAUCAACUCCCUAUAUGCAUGCGCGAGAUUUUGUGGACAGUUUAAAAGAAAGGAAAGGUUAAAAAAUCAGCUAGCUCCUUGCAUGCAUGCGCCAGAUUUGUCAAUAUCCUUUUUUACAAAUUUUGUGGGCAUGUUAAAAGAAAGGAAAGAUUAAAAAAUCAGCUAGCUCCUUGCACAUGCGCGAGAUUUUGUGGACAUGUUAAAAGAAAGGAAAUAUUAAAAAAUCAACUCCUUGCAUGCAUGCGCGAGAUUUUGUGGGCAUGUUAAAAGAAAGGAAAGAUUAAAAAAAUCAGCUAGCUACUUGCAUGCAUGUGCCAGAUUUGCUAGGCAUGGUUGGAAAAAGAAUUCUACUCCAUCCUGGUUCCUUCCCUUCCUUUUUCUAUCAGCCGCCAUAACAAACUCGUUGCCGCCAUCGCACAUGCACACGCCCGAAGCAAACCCAUCGCUUGCCCCGUGCCGCCGUUGCCCGCCCUGCGCCUUCGCUGACCUCCUCGCUGGGUAAUUGUUGACCAUCGGUACGGACGCAUGCAAUUCUCUUGAAGAAGUAACUAUGGAACAGUACACCGAAGUGAUAA